rnacentral:lncRNA from 1 species
GCUUCCUCUUGCAAACCCCUUCUCUUCCUUUUCCCAGAAACACUGAGCAACUAUGUUGAAUGGAUUUCUCUACGAAGGUUAUUUUACAGGUCAGGAGGUUAGCUUACUUUUGUCUUUUUACUGCAUCUGUUUCAGAAGAAAUCCUCUGUGUGUCCUCCUGAAUCAUAAAGGCUGGUAAGAAUGAGAAGCCUAAGUCAUCAUUAAUCCACAGGCAAAGUGCUAUUCAAGCAGCUGUAGUGAAAGCUCUCGUAUGCUGCCCUGGAAAUAACCCCAGCCUUGACGUGGUAAAAUGACCCUAGGUGUCAGCGACACAACACCGCCACCAUGCAGUGAGUGGACGGAUGUCUGAAAAUGUGCUAGCCCUUCUGAGUUCCAGCAGCCCUCCCAGACCUGCACGCAGUACUGCAUUCACUUCAGGACACAAAAUGAACUUUUGUAAUGGAAUCAAGGAAAUGGAAAUAACAAAAACUAUUGACACAAUUGACUUGCAGUGUUCAGUAAGUGGAAAAAUUACUGAAAGUUGUGUGAGCAGCCACCUCUGCGCAUGCAGCAUGUGCUCAGCCCUACCUCCUAUCUGUACAGGUAUGUCGUGUGUACAUAUCUGUAUAUACAAUGAGAUUUCACAGCACUCCACAUUCCAGAAGGAGUGUAUGUAUAAAACUAUAAAUCAGGAAUUUCUAC